rnacentral:rRNA from 1 species
GACGAACGCUGGCGGCGUGCCUAAUACAUGCAAGUAGAACGCACAGUUUAUACCGUAGCUUGCUACACCAUAGACUGUGAGUUGCGAACGGGUGAGUAACGCGUAGGUAACCUGCCUGGUAGCGGGGGAUAACUAUUGGAAACGAUAGCUAAUACCGCAUAAUAUUAAUUAUUGCAUGAUAAUUAAUUGAAAGGUGCAAUUGCACCACUACCAGAUGGACCUGCGUUGUAUUAGCUAGUAGGUGAGGUAACGGCUCACCUAGGCGACGAUACAUAGCCGACCUGAGAGGGUGAUCGGCCAAACUGGGACUGAGACACGGCCCAGACUCCUACGGGAGGCAGCAGUAGGGAAUCUUCGGCAAUGGACGGAAGUCUGACCGAGCAACGCCGGGUGAGUGAAGAAGGUUUUCGGAUCGUAAAGCUCUGUUGUAAGAGAAGAAAGGGUGUGGGAGUGGAAAGUUCACACUGUGACGGUAUCUUACCAGAAAGGGACGGCUAACUACGUG